UACGUAGGGUGCGAGCGUUGUCCGGAAUUACUGGGCGUAAAGAGCUCGUAGGUGGUUUGUCGCGUUGUUCGUGAAAACUCACAACUCAAUUGUGGGCGUGCGGGCGAUACGGGCAGACUGGAGUACUGCAGGGGAGACUGGAAUUCCUGGUGUAGCGGUGGAAUGCGCAGAUAUCAGGAGGAACACCGGUGGCGAAGGCGGUUCUCUGGGCAUGACCUGACGCUGAGGAGCGAAAGUGUGGGGAGCGAACAGG
rnacentral:rRNA from 1 species